CUGCAGCCCGAGUGGUGAUCGAUUUUAUUGAGCCUAAAGCGUCCGUAGCCGGACUAGUAAACCCUUGGGUAAAUUGGGCAGCUUAACUGUCCGAAUUCCGAGGGGACUGCUAGUCUUGGGACCGGGAGAGGUCAGAGGUACUCAAGGGGUAGGGGCUAAAUCCUGUAAUCCUUUGGGGACCACCAGUGGCGAAGGCGUCUGACUAGAACGGAUCCGACGGUAAGGGACGAAACCCUGGGGCGCGAGCCGGAUUAGAGACCCGAGUAGUCC
rnacentral:rRNA from 1 species